GCUCCAGCCACCCACCCAUCACAGCCUCCUGCUUUUGAGUUUGCCCUAAAUGAAAAUGAAACCAGUCGUGUUCCCUCGUUUUCUCCUAGCUACCUCACUAAAGUCUGUCACUCUCCUGCCUCAGAGUAGAAAGAAAGAGUAGUCACGUGCUCCCAGAAGGACUCUAAGUCAAGUCACAGAGCUAAAAAUACAUGAAGGUGGCACCAGCUCAUGGGGCACUGGGCCUGGCUCUGCAGAGGCCUCUGCCUUCCUUCACUGUGCACCCUGGGCUCAUGCACCAAGGCAGAGAACAGGAAGAAGUGAGGGGACAAGAAGAAGGCAGAAUGUCCAGAUGGAGGAUAAGACCAAAGAGCCAGCACCUACAGGACUUGGGCUGCUUCAGGCUGAACGCUGGGAGACCACUUCCUGUGCUGACACACAGAGCUCCCAUCUCCAUGAAGACCGCACAGCGCGUGUAAGCCAGCCCAGCUGACCUAAAGCGACAUGAGACUACUAGAAAGAAACGACACCCUUCCCCAAGCCCCCACAGCUACUCCAACCCAAACAACAACCAAGCCAGUUUAAUGGUAGGAAUUUGUAUUUUUUGCCUUUGUUCAGAAUACAUGACAUUGGUAAAUAUGC
rnacentral:lncRNA from 1 species